GGGCCCGCACAAGCGGUGGAGUAUGUGGUUUAAUUCGAUGCAACGCGAAGAACCUUACCAGGGUUUGACAUCCUGCGAAUCUCUUGGAAACAGGAGAGUGCCUUCGGGAACGCAGUGACAGGUGGUGCAUGGCUGUCGUCAGCUCGUGUCGUGAGAUGUUGGGUUAAGUCCCGCAACGAGCGCAACCCACGUCUUUAGUUGCCAGCAUUUAGUUGGGCACUCUAGAGAGACUGCCGGUGAUAAACCGGAGGAAGGUGUGGAUGACGUCAAGUCAUCAUGCCCCUUACAUCCUGGGCUACACACGUGCUACAAUGGUGGUGACAGAGGGCAGCAAUAUCGCAAGAUAAAGCUAAUCCCAAAAAACAUCUCAGUUCGGAUUGGACUCUGCAACUCGAGUCCAUGAAGUUGGAAUCGCUAGUAAUCGU
rnacentral:rRNA from 1 species